UGCUUGAGGUUUAGUUUCUUUGUGCUGCGU
rnacentral:piRNA from 1 species